rnacentral:lncRNA from 1 species
UCAUAAACAAUUCGCAGCAAGUCAUUUGAGGAAUCAUGCGGUAAUUACUCCCUGAGCUUAGACAUUCGAUUCGACUACUUACGUAUUUGCAUUUAUAAACAUUACUUUACGUUCAAAUAUGUUGCAAAAAAUAAAACAAAAGGUGAAGAAAGUAUGAUUUUCUGCCAUUCUCUUUUCUCAUUUUCUGCCAUUAUGAUUUCGCCUAUAUCAACAUAUUUCUAUGGAGAAAACAAUGUAUACAAUGAAUGAAAGUAUAUUCCAUUAAUACUACAUACAACAGAAAUGGAUCAAAUUGUAGUUCAAACUAGUGUUUUAAAGGAACUCCAAUUCAUUAGUCAUAAAAAUAUCAUAUCCUAUAAAUUGAGCUCUAGAUCCCCCAGCCUAGAAACAGUCCCAAUCCUCAAAAGUAAACAAAGUCUAC